rnacentral:rRNA from 1 species
GGGGUUGGAUUCAAGUCCAUCCGGUUGCAUAACAGGCUGCCUGGCCCCGCCAGAUGGUGCUGGUCGCCCGCGGCGAUUCAUUUCGCUUGCGGUGUCGUUCCCGGCGAUCACUCGGUGGGGUGGCGUGAACUCUGGCAAUGGAGGAGUGCACUUCCCCCCUAGUAGAAACGUCGCGACCCGUUGGGUGCCGGUCUAAGGCCUGGGAAGGCAGACCAUGUGUCCUGAGAGGGUUCUCACAGGUACGUGGACUCCUGGUGUCCCGGCUGGCUGCCCGACGGUAUGACCAGAGGAGUCGAUCCGCUGAAAAGGAAA